UUUGUCAUUACUUUUGUAAUCUAGUACCCUUAAACUUACAUUUCGUUUCCUUUCAGUACUUGAAAGACAAAAAAAAGGGCAAGUACAGCAUGAUUUCAGGGAAGAAGAUCAAGAUGAAAGUAAAGAAGACAAAGAAAGACAAACAGCAAGAUAAAAAUCGAGCUGAACUUCUGGACUUCUUGAACUCGACCGUGUGAUGGCCCUAUGGACGGUAGUCGUGGUGCUCGGGCUCGGAAACCUCUGCAGAACUCAGGAAACGUUAAUUUGGAGAACAACAAUGAAGAGUUCUCUGAGAAAGAAACGAUGAGUACGACUUGCAGCAGCGAGCCUGACAGGGCGAAUGUGAAGACCCCUUAGCUUCCUUUUUCACAGGGCACUUCCCAGGUGGCCAAUCCUUCAGCUUAGUCUGAUAGCUUUUUGUGAUAUGAAAAGUGUUUUAUGUUUAGCAGUGUCAUCCAAAAUGGUGUCUGUAACCAAGCUUUGGUCACCUCCGAUUUAGCAUUACCUUUCCGAAAACAUGGUCGCUCUCUUAAUGGACCAGAGAUAUUGUCUUUUUUAUUUCUCGCAUUUCUCUUCCUUGUCUAAAUAGACACCUACAUUACCCACAAUGCAACUCUCCUGCCGACAGUUUGGCUGGAAAUUGGGGAAUGCUAUGCUAGUGAUGAGGAGUAGGCUACACAGGUCUGGUAAGCUCACUUUUCAACUCUGCACCCCGGAUUAUAAACGUUUCAACUUCCCCUUUUUAAAAGGUUUGUUUUAACUUCCUGACUCAUGUCCACAUUACCACAUGUAGGAUUGCCCAUACAUAUAUUAAUUUCUGUAGAUAUUAAAACCGUUAUGUUUCCAAAUAAAUGUUGGCUGUGUGAGCCAAAGUGUUAUCAGUGUUCACUGAUAUUUCAUAUGUACAUUUUGUUUAAAAAUGAUUGGAGAAUUGAUUCUGUGGUUUGAUGGUAACUGUUUUAGUAUUACUGUCUUCCUCAUUACCCCCAUAUUGUGUCAUGAAUAUUUUUCAGACAUUUAUUAAAUUGAAAUAUAAAAUACUACGACCCCUCUGCUAGUCCUCCUGUAUCAAUACAGGUGGAAGCUUUGAUUGGAAGAUGGAGUAAACCUAUUGUGUACUGUUGAAUUUUGAUGCGUGACAAACAGAAAAGAAACGGCAAUAAACGGCUGGAAAGAUUUCA